rnacentral:rRNA from 1 species
AGAGUUUGAUCCUGGCUCAGGAUGAACGCUGGCGGCGUGCCUAAUACAUGCAAGUCGAACGAGGUGCUUUUGUAGCAAUACGAAAGUAUCCUAGUGGCGAACGGGUGAGUAACGCGUUGGUGACCUACCCCAAAGUGUGGGAUAACAGUCCGAAAGGAUUGCUAAUACCGCAUGUGGUCCUCAGGCCUAGAAACUGAUGACUAAAGGAGCAAUUCGCUUUGGGAGGGACCUGCGUCCCAUCAGCUAGUUGGUAGGGUAAUGGCCUACCAAGGCGACGACGGGUAGGGGACCUGAGAGGGUGACCCCCCACAAUGGAACUGAAACACGGUCCAUACACCUACGGGUGGCAGCAGUAGGGAAUAUUGCACAAUGGGCGAAAGCCUGAUGCAGCAACGCCGCGUGUGCGAUGAAGGCCUUCGGGUCGUAAAGCACUUUUCUGGGAGAUGAGAAAGGACAGUAUCCCAGGAAUAAGUCUCGGCUAACUACGUGCCAGCAGCCGCGGUAAAACGUAGGAGGCGAGCGUUAUCCGGAUUCACUGGGCGUAAAGCGCGUGCAGGUGGUUCGGUAAGUUAGGCGUGAAAUCUCCCGGCUCAACUGGGAGAGGUCGUCUAAUACUACCGGACUUGAGAGCAGAAGAGGAAGAUGGAAUUCCCGGUGUAGUGGUGAAAUGCGUAGAUAUCGGGAGGAACACCAGUGGCGAAGGCGAUCUUCUGGUCUGUUUCUGACACUCAGACGCGACAGCUAGGGUAGUAAACGGGAUUAGAGACCCCGGUAAUCCUAGCCGUAAACGAUGUGAACUUGGCGUGGUGGGUUAAACUCCAUCAGUGCCGAACAAACACGAUAAGUUCACCGCCUGGGGACUACGGCCGCAAGGUUAAAACUCAAAGGAUUGACGG